AGUCGACAUAUUUUGACAUCCUCAAGGUUCAUGGGGCCUUUCUACUUUCUGUUUUCGACAGACCUGUCGUCCAUUCUCCCGAAAUACGCUACACCCAUCACAAAACCUUCAGCGUUCCAAAACUCCAAGGAACUGAAUGAAAACUCCUACCUGGGUGUAGUCAUCCCAAUUGAACCCACCAAUGCAAAAUGCGUAUUACUCCCAGGCCAGGAUUGAAUUUUCGGUAACACGACGACAACCACCCCAUCAACAAGAUAUAUAAACAGCGACGCCAUAUGUAGCAUUCUGUCACGCCGCAUCUUCAGCCCCAGCAGAUUAACACAGUUUCCGAAGUUUGAGAAACAGGAGAUUCCAGACUUCUUCUAUUAUUGUCGCGGCUGGCACAUGCCCAUUUCGUUAAAGACCAGCUCCUUGGAUGACCAGUGAAAAUAGAUUUCAACUGGAAUAAAAAGAGCAUGAUAAGCACAGCCUUAAUAUUAUUUUAUAAAUCUUGUAUGUUUUCUUCUCUAAAGACUUUCCAUUUGAAUUUUCUAGUUUUAAUAAUGUUUUGCCUUGCCAGAAACAGUAUUAUCGACAAAAACUGACAUAGCUGUCAUACAUAAAUUUAAAUAUUAGUCGCGUUGCCAUAUGACAACUAAACCAGAAUUUGUUGCUACCAAACGCGUUUAAUCAACCAAUUAUCUGAUAUAAACCGGAAUGUUGUUGUAUCCACAUUCCAACCUCCAAAGGUCGAAAGCUCGUUGCGGUCCAUAAGACCGUACGUUAUGGCCAUUGAUUUUUUAAAGGUGCCGAUAACACGCCUUGCAUAUCGAGUAUCACAGGCACUCAGUAUUUAUAUAAACUAUUCCUAAACUAUUUAUUUUUCUAAAUUAUUUUCAAAAUUUUAAAUCUACAAAAAAACUUUUCGAAAUUAUAUUCUUAUAAGCACUUAGCACCCAUCCUUCGUAAAUAAUAUAUAUUGCAAAUUUUGCCCAUGAACAUUCGACUAAGAAACAGGGGUAAACUUCUCACCUAUCAAUGAGUGCAGUCCGAUUAAGUUUUAAGCUCAAGUCUCGCCAGGAUUCGAACCCAGGCGCUCAGCGUCAAAGGCGAACAUGCUAACCUCUGCGCUACGGUGGCCUCCAUAAAAUGGUAUAUCGAUGGGAAAAAUUUAAAUGACAAUGGUCUCGGACCCCCUCAAUGUCUAAUUUCUCUUCUCAUAUACGACAAAUUUCAAUCGUUCGGAGAGCAAGCUAUGGUUUACACAACUUUUUAAGAUCCACUUCAUUUUUGUUGCCUUAUAUCCGGCUUGGGGUUACAUCCUAUCGUUGCCACCAUGGUAGACGUAUUUUUAAAUUUUAUAUUUUUUAAUACCAUAAAUUUGCUAUAAAUACAAUCAAGUUAUUAAGUUUUUGAGAGUAAAAUACAAUAUAUUACAAAUGUA